GUGUAUAACUAUCUUCUUUCUCCACACCUGACUCGGUGCUACGGUCUCCUCAGGACAGUUCUGUUCAAGUUGUAUGUCUUCAAACCUUACUACUUCUCCUUCGUAGUCUGCCCAUCCGUCCUUGAUGAUUUGCCUCCUCUGGUUGCAGUUGCGUCGUCUUCUUCUUGUCCUGACCUGCUUAGAGUCUUCAACUAUAUAGUUAGGGUCAAUAAAAUAACGGCGUACCUUCUCAGAUGGAAAGUGCAUGUGGACUUCUCCGGUUCCAAUGUAGAUGAUUGCUUUAACGGUGCUGAGGAACGGUCUUCCAAGGAUGAUGGGUGGAUUGAACUCGUCUUCUCCCAUGUCAAUAACCUUCAACCUUUUGGAAUGUCUGAUCUGCCAUCUGGAGCUGAAUGUAUGUCGGUUUUUAGGGGCAUGGUUCCAAACAGGAGCUGAUAGGUGACUGCGGCCAUUAUGUUGACGCCUAACCUGAUGUCGCAAAGCGUCUUCUGGAAGUUGUAUCUAUUAAUGGAGCACUGGAUGCUUGGCAUACCUGGGUCGUCCUUUUUGGUCAGGAACGGUGACUUUAGUCGACGAUCUUGACCUCCUUGAACUGCAGUGACCAUCUUAGCUGACUCGGUCCACAUUUGCUUGUUCUUGUUCCUCCUGUUGGUCCUCUUCCUUGGUUCAUGUCGGAAAUGCUCUGAGAUUCGUGU
rnacentral:lncRNA from 1 species